rnacentral:rRNA from 1 species
GACGAACGCUGGCGGCGUGCUUAACACAUGCAAGUCGAACGAUGAACCCGGAGCUUGCUCUGGGGGAUUAGUGGCGAACGGAUGAGUAACACGUGAGUAACCUGCCCUGGACUCUGGGAUAAGCGUUGGAAACGACGUCUAAUACCGGAUAGGACCUUGGAUCGCAUGAUCUGGGGUGGAAAGUUUUUUCGGUCUGGGAUGGACUCGCGGCCUAGCAGCUUGUUGGUGAGGUAAUGGCUCACCAAGGCGUCGACGGGUAGCCGGCCUGAGAGGGUGACCGGCCACACUGGGAAUGGGAGACGGAGGAGACAGCUGCGGGAGGCAGCAGAAGGGAAUAUGGCACAAGGGGCGAAGGCCUGAUGCAGCAACGGCGCGUGCGGGAUGACGGCCUUCGGGUUGGAGACGGCUUAAAGUAGGGGAGAAGGUCUUCGGCUUGACGGUACCUGCAGAAAAAGGACCGGCUAACUACAUG